rnacentral:lncRNA from 1 species
GCCGCCAUGUUGUGCGGCGGGGGGGGAACCACAACUCCCAGCAGCCUUUGCGCGGGGGCAGCACAACAUGGCGGCGCCCUUUGUCCUGUUGGGAGAGCGGGAGGCGGGUGGAAAAGGAUCCCCAGGGAUUGCGGCUUUCCUGCGCCGCUUGCGGUCCGGACUCUCGAGAGGGCUCAGUCUCGAGUUCCCGGGCGCUUCCUGUUAAAUGAUACUGUGAAAAUAACUUCAUACUUUAAGGGGAAAGAAGCUGUUUGUGGGAGUUCAGAUGUCCGUGAUAAACGCUUUAUGCUUUUUCAGUCACUGUCCCUGGUCAUUCUUGUGUUUGAGGGGAGUAAAAAUGGCCUUGGGGAUUUGCUUCUGGGAACAGAGAUCCAUUUCCUGAUGGUAGUCCUGGAAAUGGAACUGAGUCUCUGUGAGAGCUGA